UGGGGAAUAUUGCACAAUGGGCGCAAGCCUGAUGCAGCCAUGCUGCGUGUAUGAAGAAGGCCUUCGGGUUGUAAAGUACUUUCAGCGGGGAGGAAGGUGUUGAGGCUAAUAACCUCAGCAAUUGACGUUACCCGCAGAAGAAGCACCGGCUAACUCCGUGCCAGCAGCCGCGGUAAUACGGAGGGUGCAAGCGUUAAUCGGAAUUACUGGGCGUAAAGCGCACGCAGGCGGUCUGUCAAGUCGGAUGUGAAAUCCCCGGGCUCAACCUGGGAACUGCAUUCGAAACUGGCAGGCUAGAGUCUUGUAGAGGGGGGUAGAAUUCCAGGUGUAGCGGUGAAAUGCGUAGAGAUCUGGAGGAAUACCGGUGGCGAAGGCGGCCCCCUGGACAAAGACUGACGCUCAGGUGCGAAAGCGUGGGGAGCAAACA
rnacentral:rRNA from 1 species